GCCUGGCAGCGCUACGCCUGGCUACGCUGCGCGGCGAGGUUAGACGGCCAGUGUUGUUCCGUGUACCGCCCGGGCAAGCCGUUCCCGCCGUUCGCGCUUCGCAGUGUUUUUGUUGCCGUCAGGUUGGCAGCGCGUUCAAGUGCCUCAAAUCCGAGCUAUCCUCGCGCGACCGUUCGAGUGGUUCCGGUGUCCUGUGUCUUCGAAGAACCAAAGGAUUCAGUGGAGUGCUUCGAACCAGAAGUGGCCGAGCGGUACCGAUCCAUCGUUUCGGUGAAAUGUGCUACCAGUAGAGUGCGCGCGCGAGACUGUAUGUGUGCGUUUCAACCACGGAUAUUUCACCCGAGUGUCAAAAAUAUUUUCAAAAUGACUUCGGUCGCCACCAUGCCUAUAUCGGAGCUGCAUCGGCGCGCGACGCUGCCUCGUCUGAAGGGGACCACGCGACUCAGGGCGCGCGUCGGCGGCCCCCCCGCCCCGCCCUCCGCCCCCGCCGCGUGUAGCGGUAGCGGCAGCCUCAGCAGCAG